rnacentral:lncRNA from 1 species
CCGAGGGGCGGGGCCGGGGCAGCUCCGCCUCCCCUCACAGCGUGGCCGGCGGCCGGGCACCCACAGCCGGUACAAGUGGUGAUCCCAGAAGGGGAGUGAAAACAAGAGAGGAGCGGAGACUAAUAAAAAAGAAACGUAAGGAAAACAAAGACUGUUGAUGAGAACAGAAGAAGGAACAGAUGGUGGCACCAUCCUGUCUCAGCACCAAACACUGCCCUGGAGUUGUACGUGGUGCAAAAAGCAUCCCCGUGUGGAGAAGCAGAUAGCGCUCCGGCAAAGUAUCAGGAUGGUGGAUUUUAUGGUGGAUUUCUACAGCUGA